rnacentral:rRNA from 1 species
CGAGCUCGGCUCAGGAUGAACGCUGGCGGCGUGCCUAAUACAUGCAAGUCGAACGCUUCUUUUUCCACCGGAGCUUGCUCCACCGGAAAAAGAGGAGUGGCGAACGGGUGAGUAACACGUGGGUAACCUGCCCAUCAGAAGGGGAUAACACUUGGAAACAGGUGCUAAUACCGUAUAACAAUCGAAACCGCAUGGUUUUGAUUUGAAAGGCGCUUUCGGGUGUCGCUGAUGGAUGGACCCGCGGUGCAUUAGCUAGUUGGUGAGGUAACGGCUCACCAAGGCCACGAUGCAUAGCCGACCUGAGAGGGUGAUCGGCCACAUUGGGACUGAGACACGGCCCAAACUCCUACGGGAGGCAGCAGUAGGGAAUCUUCGGCAAUGGACGAAAGUCUGACCGAGCAACGCCGCGUGAGUGAAGAAGGUUUUCGAAUCGUAAAACUCUGUUGUUAGAGAAGAACAAGGAUGAGAGUAACUGUUCAUCCCUUGACGGUAUCUAACCAGAAAGCCACGGCUAACUACGUGCCAGCAGCCGCGGUAAUACGUAGGUGGCAAGCGUUGUCCGGAUUUAUUGGGCGUAAAGCGAGCUGCUAAGUGUUGGAGGGUUUCCGCCCUUCAGUGCUGCAGCUAACGCAUUAAGCACUCCGCCUGGGGAGUACGACCGCAAGGUUGAAACUCAAAGGAAUUGACGGGGGCCCGCACAAGCGGUGGAGCAUGUGGUUUAAUUCGAAGCAACGCGAAGAACCUUACCAGGUCUUGACAUCCUUUGACCACUCUAGAGAUAGAGCUUCCCCUUCGGGGGCAAAGUGACAGGUGGUGCAUGGUUGUCGUCAGCUCGUGUCGUGAGAUGUUGGGUUAAGUCCCGCAACGAGCGCAACCCUUAUUGUUAGUUGCCAUCAUUCAGUUGGGCACUCUAGCAAGACUGCCGGUGACAAACCGGAGGAAGGUGGGGAUGACGUCAAAUCAUCAUGCCCCUUAUACCUGGGCUACACACGUGCUACAAUGGGAAGUACAACGAGUUGCGAAGUCGCGAGGCUAAGCUAAUCUCUUAAAGCUUCUCUCAGUUCGGAUUGCAGGCUGCAACUCGCCUGCACGAAGUCGGAAUCGCUAGUAAUCGCUCUAGAG